AGAACGAACGCUGGCGGCAUGCCUAAUACAUGCAAGUCGAACGAGAUCUUCGGGUCUAGUGGCGCACGGGUGCGUAACGCGUGGGAAUCUGCCCUUGGGUUCGGAAUAACAGCGAUAAAUUGCUGCUAAUACCGGAUGAUGACGUAAGUCCAAAGAUUUAUCGCCCAGGGAUGAGCCCGCGUAGGAUUAGCUAGUUGGUGAGGUAAAGGCUCACCAAGGCGACGAUCCUUAGCUGGUCUGAGAGGAUGAUCAGCCACACUGGGACUGAGACACGGCCCAGACUCCUACGGGAGCAGCAGUGGGAAUAUUGGACAAUGGGCGAAAGCCUGAUCCAGCAAUGCCGCGUGAGUGAUGAAGGCCUUAGGGUUGUAAAGCUCUUUUACCGGAAGAUAAUGACUGUACCGGAGAAUAAAGCUACCGGCUAAACUCGUGCCAGCAGCCGC
rnacentral:rRNA from 1 species